GAUGAACGCUGGCGGCGUGCCUAAUACAUGCAAGUCGAGCGAACGGACGAGAAGCUUGCUUCUCUGAUGUUAGCGGCGGACGGGUGAGUAACACGUGGAUAACCUACCUAUAAGACUGGGAUAACUUCGGGAAACCGGAGCUAAUACUGGAUAAUAUUUUGAACCGCAUGGUUCAAAAGUGAAAGACGGUCUUGCUGUCACUUAUAGAUGGAUCCGCGCUGCAUUAGCUAGUUGGUAAGGUAACGGCUUACCAAGGCAACGAUGCAUAGCCGACCUGAGAGGGUGAUCGGCCACACUGGAACUGAGACACGGUCCAGACUCCUACGGGAGGCAGCAGUAGGGAAUCUUCCGCAAUGGGCGAAAGCCUGACGGAGCAACGCCGCGUGAGUGAUGAAGGUCUUCGGAUCGUAAAACUCUGUUAUUAGGGAAGAACAUAUGUGUAAGUAACUGUGCACGUCUUGACGGUACCUAAUCAGAAAGCCACGGCUAACUACGUG
rnacentral:rRNA from 1 species